rnacentral:rRNA from 1 species
UGGGGAAUCUUGGACAAUGGGGGCAACCCUGAUCCAGCCAUGCCGCGUGAGUGAUGAAGGCCUUAGGGUCGUAAAGCUCUUUCGCCUGUGAAGAUAAUGACGGUAGCAGGUAAAGAAACCCCGGCUAACUCCGUGCCAGCAGCCGCGGUAAUACGGAGGGGGCUAGCGUUGUUCGGAAUUACUGGGCGUAAAGCGCACGUAGGCGGACCAGAAAGUUGGGGGUGAAAUCCCGGGGCUCAACCCCGGAACUGCCUCCAAAACUAUUGGUCUAGAGUUCGAGAGAGGUGAGUGGAAUUCCAAGUGUAGAGGUGAAAUUCGUAGAUAUUUGGAGGAACACCAGUGGCGAAGGCGGCUCACUGGCUCGAUACUGACGCUGAGGUGCGAAAGUGUGGGGAGCAAACAGGAUUAGAUACCCUGGUAGUCCACACCGUAAAACGAUGGAAUGCCCAAGUCGUCGGGGUAGCAUGCUAUUCGGUGACACACCUAACGGAUUAAGCAUU